rnacentral:rRNA from 1 species
UACCCAACAGCUAGCCCCCCCCCCCAAAAACCAACAAAUAACCCUUAAUACACCCAAAAACACUCAACUAAACAAAACAAAUCAUUUUUCCUCCUAAGUAUAGGCGAUAGAAAAGGAUCACGGAGCUAUAGAUGAAGUACCGCAAGGGAACGCUGAAAGAGAAAUGAAACAACCCAGUAAAGUAUAAAAAAGCAGAGAUAAAAUCUCGUACCUUUUGCAUCAUGAUUUAGCUAGUAAAAUUUAGGCAAAGAGCACUUUAGUCUAACACCCCGAAACUGGAUGAGCUACUCCAAGACAGCCUAUUUAGGGCACAUCCGUCUCUGUGGCAAAAGAGUGGAAAGAGCUUUGAGUAGAGGUGAUAAACCUACCGAGUCCAGUGAUAGCUGGUUGCCCGAGAACUGAGUUUAAGCUCAGCUUUUUGGUUUUUUAAUUCAUAACUGUAUUAAUUAACCCGAUUUUAAGAAACCAAAAAAGUUAGUCAAAGGGGGUACAGCCCCUCUGAUUCAAGAAACAACUUUUUUAGGAGGAUAAGGAUCAUAUUCACAAAGGUAUGUGUUCAGGUGGGCUUAAAAGCAGCCACCCUAUCGAAAGCGUUAAAGCUCAAACACACCCCCACACCACGAAUUCUGAUAACCCAUCCUAACCCCUAAACCCUACCGGGCCUCUCUAUGCACCCAUAGAAGAGAUUAUGCUAAUAUGAGUAAUAAGGGACUUCGCUCCCCUCCUAGCACAAGUGUAUAUCAGAACGAACCCCCACCGAAAUUUAACGGGCCCAAUCAAAGAGGGCAGUGAGAACUAAACUUAACAACCAGAAAACCACUCAUUAGUAUACCGUUAACCCUACACUGGCGUGCCUAAUAGGAAAGACUAAAAGAAAAAGAAGGAACUCGGCAAACCCACAAGCCUCGCCUGUUUACCAAAAACAUCGCCUCUUGCAAAAACAAUGAAUAAGAGGUCCCGCCUGCCCUGUGACAAUAUGUUUAACGGCCGCGGUAUUUUGACCGUGCAAAGGUAGCGCAAUCACUUGUCCUUUAAAUGGGGACCUGUAUGAAUGGCAUGACGAGGGCUUAACUGUCUCCUUUUUCAAGUCAAUGAAAUUGAUCUCCCCGUGCAGAAGCGGGGAUAGAACCAUAAGACGAGAAGACCCUGUGGAGCUUUAGACAUAAGACAGAUCAUGUUAAACACCUUUAUAUACAAAGAUAAACCAAAUGUAAACCUGUUUGAAUGUUUUUGGUUGGGGCGACCGCGGGGUAACAAAUAACCCCCAUGUGGAAUGAAAACACUUUUUAAAACUAAGAGCUACUGCUCUAAUAAACAGAACAUCUGACCAAACAGAUCCGGCCUAGCCGAUCAACGAACCGAGUUACCCCAGGGAUAACAGCGCAAUCCUCUUUUAGAGACCAUAUCAACAAGAGGGUUUACGACCUCGAUGUUGGAUCAGGACAUCCUAAUGGUGCAGCCGCUAUUAAGGGUUCGUUUGUUCAACGAUUAAAGUCCUACGUGAUCUGAGUUCAGACCGGAGUAAUCCAGGUCAGUUUCUAUCUAUGAAGUGACCUUUUCUAGUACGAAAGGACCGAAAAGGAGGGGCCUCUACUUAAAGCACGCCCUACUCUUACCUGUUGCAUCCAACUAAAACAGGCAAAAGAGCACAAAACUCAGUCAAAGAACAUGACAU